rnacentral:siRNA from 1 species
AGAGUUAGGACAUCUAUGGGACU